AUUGAACGCUGGCGGCAGGCUUAACACAUGCAAGUCGAGCGAGCGGCGGACGGGUGAGUAAUGUCUGGGAAACUGCCUGAUGGAGGGGGAUAACUACUGGAAACGGUAGCUAAUACCGCAUACCAUCAGAUGUGCCCAGAUGGGAUUAGCUAGUAGGUGGGGUAAUGGAUCACCUAGGCGACGAUCCCUAGCUGGUCUGAGAGGAUGACCAGCCACCCUGGAACUGAGACACGGUCCAGACUCCAACGGGAGGCAGCAGUGGAGUAUAGUGCACAAUGGGCGCAAGCCUGAUGUGGACCUGCCGCGUGGGUGAAGAAGGCCUUCGGGUUGUAAAGCUCUUUCAGUUAGGAAGCGUUACUCGCAGAAGAAGCACCGGCUAACUCCGUGCCAGCAGCCGCGGUAAUUC
rnacentral:rRNA from 1 species